rnacentral:rRNA from 1 species
UGGGGAAUUUUGGACAAUGGGCGAAAGCCUGAUCCAGCAAUGCCGCGUGUGUGAAGAAGGCCUUCGGGUUGUAAAGCACUUUUGUCCGGAAAGAAAUCCUUGGCUCUAAUACAGUCGGGGGAUGACGGUACCGGAAGAAUAAGCACCGGCUAACUACGUGCCAGCAGCCGCGGUAAUACGUAGGGUGCAAGCGUUAAUCGGAAUUACUGGGCGUAAAGCGUGCGCAGGCGGUUUGCUAAGACCGAUGUGAAAUCCCCGGGCUCAACCUGGGAACUGCAUUGGUGACUGGCAGGCUAGAGUAUGGCAGAGGGGGGUAGAAUUCCACGUGUAGCAGUGAAAUGCGUAGAGAUGUGGAGGAAUACCGAUGGCGAAGGCAGCCCCCUGGGCCAAUACUGACGCUCAUGCACGAAAGCGUGGGGAGCGAACAGGAUUAGAUACCCUGGUAGUCCACGCCCUAAACGAUGUCAACUGUUGUUGGGGAUUCAUUCCUUAGUAACGUAGCUAACGCGUGAAGUUGACCGCCUGGGGAGUACGGUCGCAAGAUUAAAACUU